AGAUUAAGUUAUUAAGGGCGCACGGUGGAUGCCUUGGCACUAGAAGCCGAUGAAGGACGUUACUAACGACGAUAUGCUUUGGGUAGCUGUAAGUAAGCAUUGAUUCAGAGAUUUCCGAAUGGGGAAACCCAGCACAAGUUAUGUUGUGUUAUCGACAUG
rnacentral:rRNA from 1 species